GAGCUACUCGAAACUGCGUGAUACUAUCAUCUGAUGUCGUGAGUAGCGAAUAUGUCAUGUAGCGUGAAAUGCUAGAUAUGACAUAGAACACCAAUUGCGUAGGCAGCUUACUACACGAUUAUUGACGCUGAGGCACGAAAGCGUGGGAGCAAACAGGAUUAGAUACCCUGGUAGUCCACGCCCUAAACGAUGGAUACUCGACAUCAGCGAUACACUGUUGGUGUCUGAGCGAAAGCAUUAAGUAUCCCACCUGGGAAGUACGAUCGCAAGAUUGAAACUCAAAGGAAUUGGCGGGGGUCCGCACAAGCGGUGGAGCACGUGGUUUAAUUCGAUGAUACGCGAGGAACCUUACCUGGGCUAGAAUGCUGGGAGACCGUGGGUGAAAGCUCACUUUGUAGCAAUACACUGCCAGUAAGGUGCUGCAUGGCUGUCGUCAGCUCGUGCCGUGAGGUGUUGGGUUAAGUCCCGCAACGAGCGCAACCCCCAUCACUAGUUGCCAUCAGGUAACGCUGGGAACUCUAGUGAAACUGCCGUCGCAAGACGUGAGGAAGGAGGGGAUGAUGUCAAGUCAUCAUGGCCUUUAUGCCCAGGGCUACACACGUGCUACAAUGGGGAGGACAAAGGGCUGCCACUUAGUGAUAAGGAGCUAAUCCCAAAAACCUCUUCUCAGUUCAGAUUGGAGUCUGCAACUCGACUCCAUGAAGCUGGAAUCGCUAGUAAUCGUAUAUCAGCAAUGAUACGGUGAAUACGUUCCCGGACCUUGCACACACCGCCCGUCAAGCCAUGGAAGCCGGGUGUACCUAAAGUCGGUAACCGCAAGGAGCCGCCUAGGGUAAAACUGGUGACUGGGGCUAAGUCGUAACAAGGUAACCAAGGG
rnacentral:rRNA from 1 species